CGUGGGUAACCUGCCAAGAGAUCGGGAUAACACCUGGAAACAGAUGCUAAUACCGGAUAACAACAGAUGAUGCCUAUCAACUGUUUAAAAGAUGGUUCUGCUAUCACUCUUGGAUGGACCUGCGGUGCAUUAGCUAGUUGGUAGGGUAACGGCCUACCAAGGCGAUGAUGCAUAGCCGAGUUGAGAGACUGAUCGGCCACAUUGGGACUGAGACACGGCCCAAACUCCUACGGGAGGCAGCAGGG
rnacentral:rRNA from 1 species